GUUCACAUGGUGUCAGAAGUGGGGCGGCGACACGUUUCGCAAGCCGCGUUCACUGCUGUUCUUCCCUGCCCCCUCGUCCAGCUGCACCCCUAGUACACUCCAGAGGAAGAAGUAUGGCGUCGACGGUUCUACCACCACCAAAGCCACUGGAAAGUACGGGUGACGCUUACCAGAACUGGAUCAGCUGGAAAACGCCCUGCCGGAGUGGCCAAACAUGCCAAGGGACGAGCAACUGAAGUCGCCCGUUCAAAGGUUGAUGGGUCGCCAAACAAGGACGCAGUUGCCGGUUCUUCCCCAGCACCUCGAACCGCAGACUGUGCCACCACAAGCGGUUCUCAAUCGCCUCCAGGAAAUAAAAGAAAAGCAGCGGAUCUUCUACAACCGGACGGCCAAGCGUCUACCCCAUCUUCGCAGCGGGUCUCCAGUAUCAGUGUACGACACCAUACGCAGAACCUGGUCGCCAGCUGUGCUAGUAGGCUCUGCAGGCACACCUCGGUCGUACAACCUACUUACAGACAGCGGACAAGAGCUGUGGCGCACCAGGGAGCAUCUCAGUUCCAAAGAAAUGCAACCUACGUCGGACCCUGAAGCUACAGUUUCUGCGGAGUCGGUAUGCCAGCCUGACCAGAUGGCGGAGCUACAAUCUGAGGACACCCUUCGUAGAAGUAACCGCCUGCGUAGACCGCCACAACGUUACCCCCUGCCAGAGAAACCGCAGUAUUAGGUCCCUGACAUGCGAAUUUGUAAUUUUUCUUUUCUCCUUUUCGUUUUCUCUUCGAAAAGAAGGAAGGUGUAAGUAUGCGCACUGUCAUGUUAACACGUGCCCUUACGGUACAGAGUGCGCAUGCUCAUAUUUGUAUAUGUCCCUAUAUAUGCAGCCCCUUCUCUGAUAAUAAACACACUUUGUUCUCUGCCUCC